UACGGAGGGUGCAAGCGUUAUCCGGAUUCACUGGGUUUAAAGGGUGCGUAGGUGGGCAGGUAAGUCAGUGGUGAAAUCUCCGGGCUUAACCCGGAACUGCCGUUGAUACUAUUUGUCUUGAAUAUAGUGGAGGUGAGCGGAAUAUGUCAUGUAGCGGUGAAAUGCUUAGAUAUGACAUAGAACAUCGAUUGCGAAGGCAGCUCGCUACACUAUUAUUGACACUGAGGUCACGAAAGCGUGGGGAUCGAAACAAGGAUUAAGAUGACCCGAUGUAGUCC
rnacentral:rRNA from 1 species